UACGUAGGUGGCAAGCGUUGUCCGGAAUUAUUGGGCGUAAAGCGCGCGCAGGCUGUCCUUUAAGUCUGAUGUGAAAGCCCACGGCUCAACCGUGGAGGGUCAUUGGAAACUGGGGGACUUGAGUACAGAAGAGGAAAGCGGAAUUCCACGUGUAGCGGUGAAAUGCGUAGAGAUGUGGAGGAACACCAGUGGCGAAGGCGGCUUUCUGGUCUGUAACUGACGCUGAGGCGCGAAAGCGUGGGGAGCAAACAGG
rnacentral:rRNA from 1 species